rnacentral:snRNA from 1 species
GGCGGUGUUACAACUGGGGGUU